UAGGGAAUCUUCGGCAAUGGACGAAAGUCUGACCGAGCAACGCCGCGUGAGUGAAGAAGGUUUUCGGAUCGUAAAACUCUGUUGUUAGAGAAGAACAAGGACGUUAGUAACUGAACGUCCCCUGACGGUAUCUAACCAGAAAGCCACGGCUAACUACGUGCCAGCAGCCGCGGUAAUACGUAGGUGGCAAGCGUUGUCCGGAUUUAUUGGGCGUAAAGCGAGCGCAGGCGGUUUCUUAAGUCUGAUGUGAAAGCCCCCGGCUCAACCGGGGAGGGUCAUUGGGAACUGGGAGGCUUGAGUGCAGAAGAGGGGAGUGGAAUUCCAUGUGUAGCGGUGAAAUGCGUAGAUAUAUGGAGGAACACCAGUGGCGAAGGCGGCUCUCUGGUCUGUAACUGACGAUAAGGCUCGAAAGCGUGGGGAUCAAACAGG
rnacentral:rRNA from 1 species